rnacentral:rRNA from 1 species
GAUGAACGCUGGCGGCGUGCCUAAUACAUGCAAGUCGAGCGAACGGACGAGAAGCUUGCUUCUCUGAUGUUAGCGGCGGGCGGGUGAGUAACACGUGGAUAACCUACCUAUAAGACUGGGAUAACUUCGGGAAACCGGAGCUAAUACCGGAUAAUAUUUUGAACCGCAUGGUUCAAAAGUGAAAGACGGUCUUGCUGUCACUUAUAGAUGGAUCCGCGCUGCAUUAGCUAGUUGGUAAGGUAACGGCUUACCAAGGCAACGAUGCAUAGCCGACCUGAGAGGGUGAUCGGCCACACUGGAACUGAGACACGGUCCUGACUCCUACGGGAGGCAGCAGUAGGGAAUCUUCCGCAAUGGGCGAAAGCCUGACGGAGCAACGCCGCGUGAGUGAUGAAGGUCUUCGGAUCGUAAAACUCUGUUAUUAGGGAAGAACAUAUGUGUAAGUAACUGUGCACAUCUUGACGGUACCUAAUCAGAAAGCCACGGCUAACUACGUG